UGGGGAAUAUUGCACAAUGGGCGCAAGCCUGAUGCAGCCAUGCCGCGUGUGUGAAGAAGGCCUUCGGGUUGUAAAGCACUUUCAGCGAGGAGGAAGGUGGUGAGCUUAAUACGCUCAUCAAUUGACGUUACUCGCAGAAGAAGCACCGGCUAACUCCGUGCCAGCAGCCGCGGUAAUACGGAGGGUGCAAGCGUUAAUCGGAAUUACUGGGCGUAAAGCGCACGCAGGCGGUUUGUUAAGUCAGAUGUGAAAUCCCGGCUAG
rnacentral:rRNA from 1 species